AUUGAACGCUGGUGGCAUGCUUAACACAUGCAAGUCGAACGGUACAGAACUAGCUUGCUUGUUGCUGACGAGUGGCGGACGGGUGAGUAACGCGUAGGAAUCUGCCCAUCUGAGGGGGAUACCAGUUGGAAACGACUGUUAAUACCGCAUAGUAUCUGUGGAUUAAAGGUGGCUUUUGGGCUGUCGCAGAUGGAUGAGCCUGCGUUGGAUUAGCUAGUUGGUGGGGUAAGGGCCUACCAAGGCUACGAUCCAUAGCUGAUUUGAGAGAAUGAUCAGCCACAUUGGGACUGAGACACGGCCCAAACUCCUACGGGAGGCAGCAGUGAGGAAUAUUGGACAAUGGGGGCAACCCUGAUCCAGCAAUGCCAUGUGUGUGAAGAAGGCCUUAGGGUUGUAAAGCACUUUAGUUGGGGAAGAAAGCUUUGAGGUUAAUAGCCUUGAAGAAAAGGACGUUACCCAAAGAAUAAGCACCGGCUAACUCCGUGCCAGCAGCCGCGGUAAUUCA
rnacentral:rRNA from 1 species